rnacentral:misc_RNA from 1 species
GAAAUGCGAUAAGUAGUGUCAAUUGCAGAAUUCAGUGAAUCAUCGAAUCUUUGAACGCACAUUGCGCCCCUUGGUAUUCCAUGGGGCAUGCCUGUUCGAGCGUCAUUUGUACCCUCAAGCUCUGCUUGGUGUUGGGUGUUUGUCCCGUCUCCGCGCGUGGACUCGCCCCAAAGUGAUUGGCAGCCGGCGUACUGGUCCCGGAGCGCAGCACAUGUCGCGCAAACGAGUGCCUUGGUACGGCGGCGUCCAUAAGCCCCUCUCUCACGCUCUUGACCUCGGAUCAGGUAGGGAUACCCGCUGAACUUAAGC